CUGCUGUAGGUGAACCUGCAGCAGCUGGAUCAUUUU
rnacentral:rRNA from 1 species